GUCGUGUGUCCAGCCCUGUGAAGAUUUUAGUUCCUUUUCAGGUUAAUAUACAUAAGCAUUUGUUGUUGCCAGGGUGGAUUAGGAGUCAUAUUCGAAGUGCUUCUGUGAAGCUUUUAAUUCUGAAAGAGGUAACGUUCAGGACCCUAAACACAGAAGAACUCUUUUACACAGCGAGGUCAGCAGCCUACAGAAUGUCCUUGGAGGCCGCUGUGUGAGAAUGAGGAAAGACACUGAGCUCCACAAGAGAACAAUGAAGCUUAAACUGAGCAAAUGUAAGCCAAUACUCCCAGUCUAAAUCAUCAGCCAGCAGAAAAUGACCAACCAUCAUGUUUUUUGAGCUGUGUCUCUGUGAUGAGCCCAUCCCCAGGAGCCAUCCAAAACACAGGAAUGCACAUCCUGUGUCAGUCCAAAGGGACCCCAACCCUGAACUGUGGCUUUCCACAGCUGCAGAGGCCUAGAGAAAGAAAUUACCAAAAUCAGAUUUUCCAGUGCUGGCACAGAUCUGGGAGAAGAGUGAUGGAAAUCAAAGAGAUCGAGUACGACUUGGAAGACAUAGUCUGUCUGACUUUCCUGCAGAAGUGCUUUGCAGCAGCAAAGGUGUGUUUGACAUGUAAGAUAUAGCUGCUUUGUUCUAAUUCCACAAAAUAGAUGUAAGGAAAAAUACUUGGCUACGAAAUGUUACAAGCCGACCAAUAAAAAGAAAGACAGCCCUUGGAAUGUGUUAUGA
rnacentral:lncRNA from 1 species